CAGUCGCCGCGGUAAAACGUAGGGCGCAAGCGUUAUCCGGAAUUAUUGGGCGUAAAGAGCGCGUAGGCGGUUUGUCGCGUCUGCCGUGAAAGUCCGGGGCUCAACCCCGGAUCUGCGGUGGGUACGGGCAGACUAGAGUGAUGUAGGGGAGACUGGAAUUCCUGGUGUAGCGGUGAAAUGCGCAGAUAUCAGGAGGAACACCGAUGGCGAAGGCAGGUCUCUGGGCAUUAACUGACGCUGAGGAGCGAAAGCAUGGGGAGCGAACAGGAUUAGAUACCCCUGUAGUCCCUGUCUCUUAUAA
rnacentral:rRNA from 1 species